rnacentral:rRNA from 1 species
UACGUAGGGGGCAAGCGUUGUCCGGAUUUAUUGGGCGUAAAGAGCGUGUAGGCGGCCAGACAAGUCUGCUGUGAAAACUCGAGGCUCAACCUCGAGCUGUCGGUGGAAACUGUCUGGCUAGAGCCGGAAGAGGAGAGUGGAAUUCCUGGUGUAGCGGUGAAAUGCGCAGAUAGUCAGGAAGAACACCUAUGGCGAAGGCAGCUCUCUGG